CCUCCUACGGGGGGCAGCAGUGGGGAAUAUUGCACAAUGGAGGGAACUCUGAUGCAGCGACGCCGCGUGAGUGAGGAAGUAAUUCGUUAUGUAAAGCUCUAUCAGCAGGGAAGAAAGUGACGGUACCUGAAAAAGAAGCUCCGGCUAAAUACGUGCCAGCAGCCGCGGUAAUACGUAUGGAGCAAGCGUUAUCCGGAUUUACUGGGUGUAAUGGGCGAGUAGGUGGCAGAGCAAGUCUGAAGUGAAAACCCAAAGCUAAACUAUGGGAAUGCUUUAGA
rnacentral:rRNA from 1 species